AUGUCAGCAGCGAAGGGGGAAUUUGGAGGACUUCAUCCACUGGCUCCCUGAGGGAAUGAAAGAAUCAUUGGAGAAGGAGAAUGCACUCUGGAAGCAGCCACAUAAGAAGGCGGCGAAGGAAAAACAAAACACAAGAACUUACCAAAGAACCCCAGCAUGACCAUAAACCACCUCUGCAUGAGCCCAAAACAGAUUCGCCUGUACUGUAAACCUGAGAUUGCAAGCUCUGGCUGCGGCGCCACUGGGAGCAAAGGGAAUUUCUGUCUCACCAAGAGCUAAAGGACUAGAAAAGGCACCUGAGGGAUUUUGCAUGCAGUCAACUUUCCAUUGGGAAAGGUAAAUUUGAAGACCAAGUCUGAGGAUGUCAUUUCUCUGAACAGAAUGAAAUGAAUAAAUACAACAGAUGAGACUGUUACCCAGCUGGUUUGCUGGUGUUUUUAGUAGAGCCAGGAUUUUACCUCAUGUUACUGCAGGACUUCUUUUUCUCUUCAGCUAAGGACAUGUAUCCCCUGGGAGGGGUCUAUGCCAACACAGCUCAAACCAUUUUUUUGGAUUUACACAUCCCUGCAUGAAAAGAGGCACAAAUCUCUACUGCAAUAUUAGCACUGACUAUUCAUGCACCGUAUGUUUUUUUCCCUUUUUAAACAGCUCUGAAAUCUAGGAUAGUUCUGGUAAUAUCUGGGGAUAAAGCAAGAAUUUUCUUCAAAGCUACUUUCUUAAGGAAUUCUCUUCUUUGCCUGUUUGUGUAACUUCACAAGUUCUGCCAAAAAAAAAAAAAAAAGAAAAA